GAUCCUGGCUCAGAUUGAACGCUGGCGGCAGGCUUAACACAUGCAAGUCGAACGGUAACAUAAAGAAGCUUGCUUCUUUGAUGACGAGUGGCGGACGGGUGAGUAAUGCUUGGGAAUCUAGCUUAUGGAGGGGGAUAACUACGGGAAACUGUAGCUAAUACCGCGUAAUAUCGAAAGAUUAAAGUGUGGGACCUUCGGGGCCACAUGCCAUAAGAUGAGCCCAAGUGGGAUUAGGUAGUUGGUUAGGUAAAGG
rnacentral:rRNA from 1 species